rnacentral:rRNA from 1 species
ACGAGUUUGAUCCUGGCUCAGAACGAACGCUGGCGGCGCGCCUAACACAUGCAAGUCGAACGAGAAUCCGGGGGCAACCCGGUAGUAAAGUGGCAAACGGGUAAGGAAUACAUGGGUAACCUACCCUUGAGAAGGGAAUAACCCGCCGAAAGGUGAGCUAAUACCCUAUACGCUAUCUUUUUUUCGAAAAGGAUAGGAAAGCCGGGUCGAGGACCUGGUACUCAAGGAGGGGCUCAUGUCCUAUCAGCUUGUUGGUGGGGUAACGGCCUACCAAGGCUACGACGGGUAGCUGGUCUGAGAGGAUGAUCAGCCACACUGGCACUGAGAUACGGGCCAGACUCCUACGGGAGGCAGCAGUGAGGAAUAUUGCGCAAUGGGCGAAAGCCUGACGCAGCGACGCCGCGUGGGGGAUGAAGGUUUUCGGAUUGUAAACCCCUUUCAUGAGGAAAGAUAAAGUGGAUAACCACUUAGACGGUACCUCAAGAAGAAGCCACGGCUAACUUCGUG